rnacentral:rRNA from 1 species
UAAGGUGGUUAUAGCGACGGGGCUCACCUCUUACCAUUCCGAACAGAGUAGUUAAGCCCGUUAGCGCCGAUGGUACUACAUCUCGUGGGAGAGUAGGUCGCCGCCUUGUUUUAAAAGUCUGCAUCAAUAUCUGAUGCAGACUUUUUUUU